rnacentral:lncRNA from 10 species
CCUGACCUUGCAACAGAAGGACCUGGCAGCUGGUUAGAAAUGCUGGAUCUCAAUCCCAACCCAACCUAAGGAACUGGAAUCUGCAUUUUAACAAGAUGCCCUGGUGAUUUGUGUGUACCGGAGCCAUGGAAGUCAAAUGCUGAGGAUGGUGGCAUCAUAGGAUGAAUGGAGCUGGGUUCUUGAAACACUGCCUGGAGGAAAGACAGCAAAAAUGCCUCAUGAAUCCAACUGGACUGUUAGGAUGCUCACCCUUGGAGACCAGCAACAAUGUGUGCAGAAACCCAGGCCAUGUGGAGAGGCCCCACAUACGUGUCCAACUGAGGUCCCAGCUGACAGCUGGCAUUGACAUAAUGUUCACUCUGGGGGAAGCCAGCUGCCACGCUGUAAGGACACUCGGGCAGUCCUAUGAAGAGGCCCGUGUGGUGAGAAAGAGAGGCCUCCAGCCAACAGCCAUAGAUGGGGUCUUGCUAUGUUUCCCAGUUGGAGUGCAGUGAUUAUUCACAGACAUGAUCCCACUACUGAUCAGCAUGGGAGUUUUCACCUGCUCCAUUUCCCACCUGGGAGGUCAUCAUAUUGAUGGCGAGCUAAGUGUGGACACCUGAUCAGCAUAGCACAGUACAGCCCAGAACCCCUGGGCUCCAGUGAUCCUCUUACUUCAGCCUCUUGAGUAGCUGGAACUACAGGCCUGCACCACUGCACCCGGCUAGUUUGUUUUUGUUAGAGUUUUGUCUCUAGGAUUUUCCUCAGCUGAGUAUGUGAAGGCUAACUUCUCCUUGUGAAUCUGCAAAUAUCCUUAUUUUACCCUUUAUUUUACCAUGUAUCAUUUACAGGUAAAUGAUAUCUUAGCUGUGUAUUGAAUUUCUGUUUUUUGUUUUUUCUUCAGUACUCUAUAAAUAUUACUCCAGUAUCUUCUAGCUUCUCCCAUUUUCUCCUAGUGAAUGGUUAUUCUGCUCUUAUCUAGCAGGUGAUAAAUCUGUCAACAGAUAGUUUUUCCUUUUUGUUUUAUGUGUAAGUUGUUAUUUCUUCCUUAAAGUUCAUAAUCUUUUCCCAUUUAUUCUCUAAAUUUUAGACUAUAACCAGGAUGUGUUUAGGUUGAUAUCUUUGCUUAUCUAUUCUGCCUGGAAAUCAGGAACCUCUUCCAAUAUUCAGACUUGUGUUUUCAGCUCAGAAUAAUUAUUUUAUCAUUUGUUUGAUUAUUCCUUUAGUUGCACUGGAUCUUAGUUAAAAUGCCCAUUCUGAUUCAAAGUAUCUGGAAGGCAAGUAUUUGUCAACUAAGGGAAAGGUGACCAUGCAUCAUUGGUUUUGCUGAGACUACCUGGUUUACACCUUCAGGCUUUAUACUUAGAAAAUAUUGCGAUCAUCUUCUGGUCAUGAAGUUACAAACUUCAGGACAAAGGCUAACCAGCUAAGACUAGCAGAGCAAAUUCCAAGAACUUGGGGCUUUAAUUAACUUGAAUUGAUUUGGACUUGCCCUACCUUUAACUUCACACUGAGAUAAAAAUUCCCCACAUUUUCAAGCCAUUUUUGAGAUGAGUCUCUUAUGGUUGAAAGCAUCCUAAUUUAUACAACAUCCUUUUGGUACCUAACUAAAUAUUCACCAAUAUUUGGCACAUUUGUUAAAUCUUUUGGUGUGUGCCUCUUCUAUGUAAUGUAAAUAUGGUCUGAAUAUCCAUUCAGAAAUUAUAGUUGAUUUGCAAAAAUAACUACUAUAUCACCUAUAUUAAUUGAUAGUUAUUCCUUCCCAACCUUCUUUCACUCUUCCAUAUAUAUACAGAGUAAAUCUACAUCAUUAUGUUGAUUAAACAAAAUAGCAGUGAAAUCAGGAUGUUACUGCUCAUUGUGCAUUUAUUUCAAUUAUGGAAAAAGCCAACACUUUACUCCCUUAUUUAACACUUCUGUAGAAAAGCAGUUGAAAUAACCUAGUGUCAUUCUAAAAUGAUUUGUAUACUAUGUAGACCAGAAUCUAGGGCUAUACCUAAAAAUACAUAAAUGAAAUUAUUCUAGAAGUUAAAUCUUCAUGAAAAAACAAAUUAAAUGGUUUACUAACCUCAAGCUGAUUAAAUGUUUUUAUUAAAUGCAGCCUCAGCCAGCACCUCUUUUCAUGGCUGCAAUAAUUAAGUAUAAUAAAUAUUCAAAUCAGUAAUUGAAUUUGUUAAAAAAAACAUGCUCAGCUCAGUGAAGACUUUCUAAUAAAUAGAAUUCAGGUACCAUAUUUUCAUACUUCAUGACACUUGCCUCAUCUUAGUUUGAUGACUGCCGUUUCUUGCACUGUAACAAGAUUUUAUUUUUAUUUUGUUUUACGCUAUUCAAACAAAUACAUUCAAAGUCAUAGGCUACACCUAUGUAUAACCAUAUUCUGAGAGUUGGCUUAUGUGUUUGUUUAUUUUCUCACAAUUAAAGAUAGGUCAGAUGUUGCCAAAUUAGUAAAUAACUAAACUUGAGAUGGGAAAUACUCUAGAGACACAAUCUGCUUAGUUUUGCAUAGUUUUGCAUAGUUUUAGUCACUUUUCCCGUUACUCUGUCCAGCUUUCCAGUAAUACUCAUAACAUUGCCUUGAUUUCAUAUGACCACGCAGUAAAGUGAUUACUGCACUUAGAAUUUUGUUGCUUUUGCUGUGCUAACAACUUAAAAGUUUAAAAUAACUGAUGUUCAAAACAGUGAAGAUUUCCUUUUAUAAACAAGUUGGAAAGGAAAGUUUUUAUGUUAUUAUCCUCAAGUAUUCUAACUAAUAUAAAAUGUCUUUCAGUCUUUUAGGCAAACCAUUUAGACAAAAAGUACAAAUAAUAAAUUUACAUUGUGUUAAGCUGCGAUCAUAUUUCUUUCUCUUGAUUUACUUUUGAAAUUUUCCUUAUGCACCUGGUGAUACUGAAAGAUGAGUCAAAUAGUGUAAUACAAUAGGGCAAUAUGAACUUCUGUUGUAGUUUCCAUUAGUUGCAUCAAUUCAAAUUGCACCUGGAAAAGAUCUAAGCACGACAUAAAGCCAAGACAGCACAUAAGGGUGAUGGCAAACAAUAAUAAUAUUUACAUCUUUUUUUUUUUUUUUUUUGGAGACAGAAUCUCACUCUGUCGGCCAGGCUGGAGUGCAGUGGCGUGAUCUCGGCUCACUGCAACCUCCGCCUCCUGGGUUCAAGCGAUUCUCCUGCCUCAGCCUCCUGAGUAGCUGGGACUACAGGGUCCUGCCACGAUGCCCAGCUAAUUUUGGUAUUUUUAGUAGAGACGGGGUUUCACCAUAUUGGCCAGGAUGGUCUCAAACUCCUGACCUUGUGAUCCACCCAAUCUUCAUUGCAUCAUUUAACUUUCAUUGGUAUCACAGUAAUUCACUAACAUUCAUUCCUUACAGGCAGUUAUGAAUAAUUGAAAAAUUUUUAACAUCAUCUCAUGGGCAAAAGAAUAUUUAUUCAUUGGCUUAGCUUAACAAAUCAUUAUUAAACACCUACUGUGUGCCAGGCACUGUUCUAGACACUGGAGUUACAGCAGUGAACAAAAUAAACACGCUCUCCAGUCUGGUGGAGUUCACAUACUGGUGCGGGGAGAGAGAUGCAUACAAACAAAAAUGCAUAUUUAAUACUUCACCAAUUGAUAGGUGCUAUGAAGAAAAAUAAACCAUAGUAAGGAUGACAUAGAGUGCUGGAUGGAGGUUUUAGUACAUAUACGUUAGCCAGAGAAGGCAUCUCUGAGAAGUUGCCAUUUGAGAAAAAGAGGGAGUAGGCUCAGUGGAUUCUGAGGGAAGAAUAAGUUUGAGAUUCUGAGUCAUUCAUGUCCUUGGCAGAUCAAUAAAGAGGAAGCAGAUGCUGUGGCCGGAACUCAGUGUGCAUGUUGGGGCAGUGGUAGGAGGCUAUGGUUGUAAGACAGGGCUACCUCCCAUAGGGUCUUGAAGACCAUAGUAAAGACUGUGGCAUCUCCUCUCCAGUAGUUUGAGCAGAGGAAUGGUAGCAUUCUACUUAGGAUUUAAAAGGUUUGCUCUAGCUGAUUUGUGGAGAAUAGGUUUGUAAGGCAGCAUAGUGAAUGAAAGGAGAAAAGUUAGGCGAUUGCAAACAUCCAGGUGAGAGUUGAUAUCAGACGGUGAUGGUGUCACAGAUGCGUUUCAUGCGAUGGGCUCAAUUAAUGGCCUCCAUGUUUCACCCUUCUCUUUCUUGGGACUGGCUUGCCUGCUGGAAGGUGAGGAAACAGCCUGUCAUCCCAGCUGAGGCCAUCCUAGAUCAGCCAACUGUCAGCUGCUUGUGUGUCAGUGAACCCCAGCCAAGACCGGAAGACCUGCCCAGCUGAGCUCAGCCAAGAUCAGCAAAACCUCUCAGCUUAUAACCUUAUAAACUUACCAAUUUAGGUGUGGUUGUGACACAGAAUUAUUGUAUUAUUGUAUGCAUGGUGAGUAUUGUAUAUUACACAUGGGAAUCAUAGAAACAGUGAAAAGCCAGUAAUUUCUGAGUAUAUAUUAAAGUUAGGGCAAAUUGUGUGAGGUGGAGAAGCCACAUACUCCAAAUUUCUGGCCUGAGACAUUGGAAGAAUGAAUAUGGAUGAUGGAGGUGGAUAUUGAAUCUGAAAUGAAUUUUUCAUUUUGUGAAAUUUUGUGAAGUUUCAUUUUGUGUUGAAUAUCUUG